UACGUAGGGAGCAAGCGUUGUCCGGAAUCAUUGGGCGUAAAGCGCGCGUAGGUGGCCUCAUAAGUCCGUCGUGAAAGUCAAAGGCUCAACCUUUGAAAGCCGAUGGAUACUGUGAGACUAGAGUACGGAAGAGGCGAGUGGAAUUCCUGGUGUAGCGGUGGAAUGCGCAGAUAUCAGGAGGAACACCAAUAGCGAAGGCAGCUCGCUGGGACGUUACUGACACUGAGGCGCGAAAGCGUGGGGAGCGAACAGG
rnacentral:rRNA from 1 species